UGCAGUCUUUAUUCAUAAGGAGCCUGUUCGUGUUUUUCCAGCAUCAUUCCCAAUGCUUCAUGGACAAGAUCUCCCUUCAGAUCUGAAGACAGCAAAGCUACCAGGAUGUCCUGUCUUUGGAUGAGUCUGAGUCUCCUCUUUGUCCUACAGCACAGCGUCUCAUCAGAUGAAGUUGCAAAACUGUUUUGCCCUCAAACAGUGGAAGUUGGAGCUGGAGAAUCUAUAUCGAUAAACUGCAGCAUACAAGACACUAACUCUAGAUGUGAAGGCACUAAAUUUACCUGGAAUGUCUCAGAUCAAAGUGGUUCAAACCAAGUCAACCUUUGUAAAAAUCACAGCAAUUUCAUAUGUCAGUGGGAUAACCAGACAUAUGUGUCACUGACCAUCCAAAAAGUCACAACAGACAAAAAUGUCACAGUAGAGAUUAAUUUAAGCUGUGGCAUGGACACUGCUGAAAUCCAAGUAAAGAUUCGAGGUAAUAUCAGGGAUAUCGGUACACUUCCUACAACAAGAAGCUACACAGCUUUUAACAAGACAGAUCCAUCAGCCAUCAGUUUAGGGGCAGAAAUGAAUGUCGCCUUCAUCAUGUUUGGUAUUUUUGUCACAGCUGGAGUAAUUUCAUAUUUCCUUUACAAAGCCAAAAAAUGCAGAAACUCACAGCUGAGAGGAAACCAAGAAGAAAUAUAUUCACCCGUCCAGGAUUUUGAGUAGAGGACAACUGGACUUUUUAUUUUGAAGACGUGUCACCUGUCAUCUAAAAGACUUUUUAACAAACUGAUCCCACCUGAUCAUUCUCUGGGUCGCUUAGUUCAUGCUGACCUGUGAGGACUUUACCUGCCCGACGACCGUGUUGGUCACAAGAUCCAAGAUACAAAUUGUUGUCGAGUCAAAGCUGAUUUUAUUCCGAAUGUAGCACAUUUAAAACUGAUUUUUAAAAUAUGGGUACACUUUCUCACUGUUUGUGGUGGUUGGUUUGUGUUUAGUACUCUGAAGACUAAAUGUUUUAGUUUUUGUCACUACCAGAACAUAAAGAAGUGGCAGUGCACUGCAUCCUACACACUGUUUCUCUGUGGAUGCAGGCCCAUGCCGCAGGACAGAGUAUAAGCCUCCAGCUGUCUUGACGACAGAGAUUCUCUCUAAUUUAUGUUUGUAGUUGUUGCUGUCACUUUCAGAUUCUCCAUUAUUCUGACAUUAUGGUCAUUAAACUAGUGCUUGUGUAAAUAAAAGUGUGCUGUACCCAUUUUUAAUUUAGCAAAAUUAGCUUGCACCCAGGUGUUAUGUUCCUAUUGAAGCUUAGCUGAGCUGAUCAAACUCCACAUCUACUGCAGAGCCAGAGUGUAAGGAGGUUUUUUUUUUAUUUAUUUUUUAACCAACGCAAAAAGAGCUUUAAUGGCUCCUCUGUUUUAAAUGGCUUUUUCCAGUUUAACACCUCUUAAUCCACAACAGGAAUUUACUUUAUCUUUGGGACACUGAUAGCCAGCCUGUUGUUGUACACUGUACUAUAGUCGCUAUACAAAUAAACCUGCUUUGCCUUAUCAAAUUCUAUCUACAGAGAAAAUGAUGUGGUGUUGAAAUGUAGAAGAAGAAACAGAAAAGGAGAAGAUGAAUCAUUCUCUGGGUUUGGUUUGAUAUGGUGUAUGUAUAAAUUUAUAUUUGCAAAGUCAAAUUCCAAAUAAAGCUGCCCU